CCACUAACUAGUUCACACCACUACAUAGUGUGUGCACCUUUCCAUGAUCAUGAUGCACAGCACUCAUCACCACCAUCGCCAAUCGGGAUCACGAACGCAUCUCGAAGCACCCAUCGCAAUCGUGAUCCGCACCACACAGUGCUGCACGAGGAGACAACCACGGGUUUCAACAGCAGCGGCCACUGCGGAGGGGGACGUUUUCCUCAACGUGAUCGAAUCGAGCGGCCAGAUCCGAAGUGGGACGUCGAUCGUGGCCGUCGGCGUCGAAGGUAGUGGCUGGCUUCGGUUUGGCUGUCCUUGUUAGAAUUCACCAGCUUCUUCAUCUUCUUCGUCUGGUCCUGAUCCUAGUACGGUGCUGCUGUUGAACAGCAUCGACUUGUCCGCGACAUGGCCGCCAGAUUCGCAUCACGCAGCUCCGACAACAGCUCAGGUGCCCCUCCCCCAACCUUCUGGUCUCAGAGUCAAGCAUCAAUGAUGAAGCACCUCC
rnacentral:lncRNA from 1 species